ACCGUGCAAAGGUAGCGUAAUCACUUGUCUCCUAAAUAGAGACCCGUAUGAAGGGCCCCAUGAGAAAGAAACUGUCUCUUGAAGAUAGCCAAUGAAAMUGAUCUGCCUGUGCAAAAGCAGGUAUAACACAACAAGACAAAAAGACCCUGUGAAACUUAAAAUAUAGCUAUCAACGAUAUGACAGUAUUUUUUGGUUGGGGCAACCAAAGAGAAACAAAACCUCUUAAAUACACAAGACCAACAAGUCCAAUUUAAAAAUUGACCCAGUAAAACUGACCAACGAACCAAGCUACUCCAGGGAUAACAGCGCCAAAUUCUUGAAGAGUCCACAUCAACAAGAAUUCUUACGACCUCGAUGUUGGAUCAGGAUACCCAAGCAGUGCAAAAACCGCUAAUGGUUCGUUCGUUCAACGAUUAACAUCCU
rnacentral:rRNA from 1 species